rnacentral:rRNA from 1 species
UACGUAGGGUGCGAGCGUUGCCCGGAUUUAUUGGGCGUAAAGGGCGCGUAGGCGGCCAUGCACGUCCGUUGUGAAAUCGCCCGGCUCAACUGGGCGGGGUCAGCGGAUACGGUGUGGCUCGAGCAAGCUAGGGGGCAAUGGAAUUCCCGGUGUAGUGGUGGAAUGCGUAGAUAUCGGGAGGAACACCAGUGGCGAAAGCGCUCUACUGGGCCAUAACUGACACUGAGGGACGAAAGCUAGGGGAGCGAAAGGG